UGUGAUACUUGCUGGUCUCCAUCACCACUUUACAGGCUUAUAUAACCUUUGCUGAACGUUUAGUCACACCUGUAUGCUGGUUACAUCAUAGCCUACAUGUUACUACUCCUCCCCCGAGAGAGCACCAUAUUUAAACUGAAAGAUUAAAUCCAUGGUCAGCUGUCAAAACAACAGAGGAGCAUUUCUGGUGUAAAUUUGGUGCCUUUGUAGGAGACUGAAAAAUCUUGACCCUAUUUCUCCAAAGUAUUUCCUGAUGGAUCUGGUAAUAAAUGAGUAAAAAUGUUGGCAUCUUUAAGCAAAUGGCUCUUACCUGAGGUAUCAUAUAUGUAUUCUUGUGUCAGUUCUGUUUGGGUGGCUUAUUUGCUCCUCUCCCUCCCAGCUACUUGAGUCAUCCUUCUUUUAUUCAAGCAUUUGCUUAUGAAUAGUGAUGUAGUGUUUCAGGUGUGGAAAGGAAGAGGCAAGAUUUGGGUAAUAGGUUGGAUGUAAUAAUCUCAAAGGUCUUUACAAACCUGCUUGAUUCUCUGAUUCUGUGAUCAUGGUGUCUUCCAAAUCCUACCUUCGGGCAAGUGAAACAUCACUGUGAGAAUAGAAUAGAGCAGAAUAGAGCAGAAUAGAAUAGAAUAGAAUAGAAUAGAAUAGAAUAGAAUAGAGUAGAAUAGAAUAGAAUAGAAUAGAAUAGAAUAGAAUAGAAUAGAAUAGAAUAGAAUAGAAUAGAAUAGAAUAGAAUAGAACAGAACAGAACAGAAUGAAAUAGAAUAGAAUAUAAUAGAAUAGAACAAAAUAGAACAGAACAGAAUGGAAUAGAAUAGACUCAAACAGAAUAGGAUAGAAUAGACUAGAACAGAAUGGAAUGGAAUGGAAUAGAAUAGAAUAGAAUAGAAUAGAAUAGAAUAGAAUAGAAUAGAAUAGAAUAGAAUAGAAUAGAAUAGAAUAGAACAGAAUAGAAAGGAAUAGAACAGAACAGAACAGAAUAGAAAAGAAUAGAACAGAACAUAAUAGAAAGGAAUAGAAUAGAAUAGAAUAGAAUAGAAUAGAAUAGAAUAGAAUAGAAUAGAACAGAAUGGAAUAGAAUAGACUCAAACAGAAUAGAACAGGAGAGAAGAGAAGAGAAGAGAAGAGAAGAGAAGAGAAGAGAAGAGAAGAGAAGAGAAGAGAAGAGAAGAGAAGAGAAGAGAAAGGAAUAGAACAGAAUAGAAAGAAAUAGAAUAGAUUAGAAUAGAAUGGAAUGGAAUAGAAUAGAAUAGAACAGAACAGAACAGAACAGAACAGAACAGAAUAUAAUAGAACAGAACAUAAUGGAAUAGACUAGACUAGACUAGAAUAGAAUAGAACAGGACAGAACAGAACAGAAUAGAAAGAAAUAGAACAGAACAUAUUAGAAUAGAAUGGAAUAGAACAGAAUAGAAUAGAUCAGAAUGGAACAGAAUAGAAUACAAUAGAAUAAAACAGAACAGAAUCGAAUACAAUAGAAUAGAAAAGAAUAGAGUCAACCAGGUUGGAGGAGACUUCCAAGAUCAUCCAGUCCACUCUGCACUUCCUAAAUGCAAUAUUACCACCUCCCGUGCCCUCUGUAGGGGCCUUGCUGAGGUUGUGUUCAGGAUGUGAUGCUGCUCAUACUCUAUCUGCUGUGCUAUAAGCUAUUGUGUCAUCAAAACCUGAAGGUCAGCGUUGGAGUUUGUGUGAAAGUGCAGCACGGAGCACUAAGUAGCAUGAAAGCGGAAGUCUGAAGAAGAGGAGUGGCAGCCAAGAGCAUUUGGAAGCCAUGCAGAUGUGGACAGCAAGAUUUCUGGCAGAACCAGUCAAGGUCACCAAAUCUCUACUUGUUUGGUCUCAGCUGAAAUUAAGCACCGUUUUAAGAACAAAAGAAGACGGCUGAAGGACUCCUGCUCGCCGACAUUGAGCGUGGAAAUUGUGUCAUAGAUUUGUACCUCACUAAACAAUAAACACUUCAUUAAAGAAUAA